rnacentral:rRNA from 1 species
GUCCAGACUCCUACGGGAGGCAGCAGUGGGGGAUAUUGCACAAUGGGGGGAACCCUGAUGCAGCGACGCCGCGUGGGUGAAGAAGUACUUCGUUAUGUAAAGCUCUAUCAGCAGGGAAGAAAAUGACGGUACCUGAGUAAGAAGCCCCGGCUAACUACGUGCCAGCAGCCGCGGUAAUACGUAGGGGGCAAGCGUUAUCCGGAUUUACUGGGUGUAAAGGGAGCGUAGACGGCAGUGCAAGUCUGGGGUGAAAGGCGGGGGCUCAACCCCCGGACUGCUCUGGAAACUGUACGGCCGGAGUGCAGGAGAGGUAAGUGGAAUUCCUAGUGUAGCGGUGAAAUGCGUAGAUAUUAGGAGGAACACCAGUGGCGAAGGCGUCUUACUGGACCGAAACUGACGUUGAGGCUCGAAAGCGUGGGGAGCAAACAGGAUUAGAUACCCCGGUAUGA